AUUAAUAAGCGGAGGAAAAGAAACUAACAAGGAUUCCCUCAGUAACGGCGAGUGAAGUGGGAAGAGCUCAAAUUUGAAAUCUCCGAUGCUUGCAUCGGCGAGUUGUAGUUGCGAGAAGCACUUUCUAGGUGGAUCGGCGGUGCCUAAGUUGCUUGGAACAGCACGUCGCAGAGGGUGACAACCCCGUCUGUGGCGCCGCCGGCCGCUGACGAUGCGCUUUCCAAGAGUCGGGUUGUUUGGGAAUGCAGCCCAAAAUGGGUGGUAAACUCCAUCUAAAGCUAAAUACUGGCGUGAGACCGAUAGCGAACAAGUACCGUGAGGGAAAGAUGAAAAGAACUUUGAAAAGAGAGUUAAAAAGUACGUGAAACCGUCGAAAGGGAAACGAAUGGACUCAGCAAUGCGCCCUCUGAGAUUCAGCCGGUGGGUGGCGGCGGUGCCGGGCUUGCGGAUCUGAAUGGACCGCGGCCCAGCGCCCGCCUCCUCCCGCCGUCGCACUUCUCUGGGGCGCGCGUCAACGUGGGUUGGGACUGGGUCUGAAAGGUGCCGGGAAGGUAGGCGUGGGCCUUCGGGUCCGUGCCGUUACAGCCCGGUUCUCUCCUGGCUCGGGCCCGACCGAGGAGCCGUGCGGGGCAUGCCUCCUGUGGCUAGGGUCCCGUCCUUCCGGCCGGUUGUCCAGUGCGGUGGACUGCUUGCAGUGCUCCGCGACGGCUGCCGGUCGUUGGGGUGGUGAUCUCGUACCAUGCCCUUAGGAUGUUGGCGGUCAUA
rnacentral:rRNA from 1 species